GAUGGAAAACGAAUUUGGUUUGCGGUACUCGCAGACGGCCACAUCGAUGGUUGGAUACAAUUAAGCUGGCGACACAUUAACCCAACGCAAAUAUUAUACGGCCUUAAUAGAUCCGUAAAUCGUUCGUUCUGUGGUUGAACGCUGAUGGUGUCUGCGACAUCUUUAUGAGGCCUUGUUCGUCUAUUAUGGCUGAAGUAUAUGGGCAAUCACUGAUGGACGGAGAUUAUGAGCAAACUUCGCGUUAAGUAGCAGCGUCAGCAUCUCAACGACUGCCGCCUGCCGUCACCUUUGAUUUUGGUUCGUAACAAAGCGCUUCGCUUCUGCGGUUAAUGCUUAUUGAGGUGUCAGCCGCAGUGGAAAGCUAUCUAUGCAAUCUUUCGUUUAAGCUCCUGACGUCCUAUGUGGCCCGGUGGUCAGGAACAGCGCGUGAGAACCAAACGUAAACGUCACCCGCAGUGAAUUGUCUCAGUCAAUGGCUGUAUCUGCUCGUCCGUCUUUCUGCCGAUCACAGCAACUGUCAUUGCAGCGGGUAUCGAAUGUGAGUGAGUGACUGCCAAGCGUCCAGUUAGCAAACGUCUGCUGCGGUGAUGACGCGCUACAUUGAUUCAGGCUAGCACGUCUUGCCCAUUUGAGACAAGGCCCACGACCACCUACUCUUCAUUUAACCUGAAUCCGCUGUUGAGGUGGCGUUAGGAGUUCGUUGUGCCAGCUUCAAAAGCACAUAAUCACUUCUUUGACGCCACAACGCUACCACCAUACUGUAACAACUGAGUUCCUCCGAUCAUCUCAGUGUCUGGUCGCAUCGGAGAGCGACUUGUGCUCUCUCCCCCCUAGGCGGGAACUUGGCAGCAACUGCUACUGCUGCCAACAUUGUCUCUUGGUUGACGUGGGUUGUGCCAUAUCGUUGUCCCGAUGGCAGAGAAUCCAAACUCGGCCAUCCGCGCCCUCAGCGUCCUUGUCUACGGUGGCCUACUGUGUCAUGCGUCUGUGACCGCGGCGUGGUUAGUUGAAUCUGGAGCUCGCUCGAUGAAGUUCAGCUCGCGUCCUGCACCGCUAAAACCAUAAGAAGGUCCCGUAGCGUCCCCAAGAACAAUAAAUAUAAUGGCCGGAGCUCUUCCGAAUGGUGAAAGCGGCACGUCCUGGAGCGCCCACAUGUUGACUCUACGGAGCAGCGCUAAGGUGAGAGGACAAACAGCCUUGCCAAUAUAACAACGGUCACCGACUCAUAUGCGACUGUACCUGUUUCUACCUACUGCACUUAUUAUAGGUGGCAAGUCGUCUUCUCCUCGGCACUACAUUCAGCUAACUAGAUUCCUGCAUGACAUGACUAAAGUAUUCGGAUUGAAAAUAACGACUAAGGGCAAAGGUCAUCUUGUAGCCUUGCUAAACAAAUCACCAAGAAGAAAGGACCGAGACUUUUUUUUCCCCAUUUAUUUAUCAUUUGUUCAAAAAAUCCUUCAAACAUGAUAAAAAAAAAAA